rnacentral:rRNA from 1 species
UACGUAGGGUCGGAGCGUUGUCCGGAAUUAUUGGGCGUAAAGAGCUCGUAGGCGGUUGUCGCGAUCUGCUCGUGAAAUCCGAGGCUCAACCUCGGGCCUGCAGUGGGUACGGGCAGACUGGAGUGGCGGUAGGGGAGAAUGGAAUUCCUGGUGUAGGCGGUGGAAUGCGCAGAUAUCAGGAGGAACACCGAUGGCGAAGGCAG